CAGUCGCCGCGGGAAUACGGAGGGUGCAAGCGUUACUCGGAAUCACUGGGCGUAAAGGACGCGUAGGCGGAUUAUCAAGUCUCUUGUGAAAUCUAACGGCUUAACCGUUAAACUGCUUGGGAAACUGAUAAUCUAGAGUAAGGGAGAGGCAGAUGGAAUUCUUGGUGUAGGGGUAAAAUCCGUAGAGAUCAAGAAGAAUACCCAUUGCGAAAGCGAUCUGCUGGAACUUAACUGACGCUAAUGCGUGAAAGCGUGGGGAGCAAACAGGAUUAGAUACCCCCGUAGUCCCUGUCUCUUAUAC
rnacentral:rRNA from 1 species